UGAGAUAGCUCAGUUGGUAGAGCAUGAGACUGUUAAUCUAAGGUUACCAGAUUUUUUCCAAUGAAUCUGGGGACACUUUUCAACUUCCUACUAAAUAGAUGGCUUUUGUCAGGGGACUGAUUUGUAAAUCCGGGGACUGUCCCCAGGAAACGCGGACAUCUAGUAACCUUAUGUUAAUCUCAAAGUCAUGGGUUCAAGCCCCACACUGGGGGAAAAG